rnacentral:rRNA from 1 species
GAUGAACGCUGGCGGCGUGCCUAAUACAUGCAAGUCGAGCGAACGGACGAGAAGCUUGCUUCUCUGAUGUUAGCGGCGGACGGGUGAGUAACACGUGGAUAACCUACCUAUAAGACUGGGAUAACUUCGGGAAACCGUAGCUAAUACCGGAUAAUAUUUUGAACCGCAUGGUUCAAAAGUGAAAGACGGUCUUGCUGUCACUUAUAGAUGGAUCCGCGCUGCAUUAGCUAGUUGGUAAGGUAACGGCUUACCAAGGCAACGAUGCAUAGCCGACCUGAGAGGGUGAUCGGCCACACUGGAACUGAGACACGGUCCAGACUCCUACGGGAGGCAGCAGUAGGGAAUCUUGCGCAAUGGGCGAAAGCCUGACGGAGCAACGCCGCGUGGGUUAUGAAGGUCUUCGGAUCGUAAAACUCUGUUAUUAGGGAAGAAAAUAUGUGUAAGUAACUGUGCACAUCUUGACGGUACCUACUCAGAAAGCCACGGCUAACUACGUG